AGUAAAAAAUUUAUAAGAAUAUGAUGUUGGUUCAGAUUAAGCGCUAAAUAAGGACAUGACACAUGCGAAUCAUACGUUUAUUAUUGAUAAGAUAAUAAAUAUGUGGUGUAAACGUGAGUAAUUUUAUUAGGAAUUAAUGAACUAUAGAAUAAGCUAAAUACUUAAUAUAUUAUUAUAUAAAAAUAAUUUAUAUAAUAAAAAGGAUAUAUAUAUAAUAUAUAUUUAUCUAUAGUCAAGCCAAUAAUGGUUUAGGUAGUAGGUUUAUUAAGAGUUAAACCUAGCCAACGAUCCAUAAUCGAUAAUGAAAGUUAGAACGAUCACGUUGACUCUGAAAUAUAGUCAAUAUCUAUAAGAUACAGCAGUGAGGAAUAUUGGACAAUGAUCGAAAGAUUGAUCCAGUUACUUAUUAGGAUGAUAUAUAAAAAUAUUUUAUUUUAUUUAUAAAUAUUAAAUAUUUAUAAUAAUAAUAAUAAUAAUAUAUAUAUAUAAAUUGAUUAAAAAUAAAAUCCAUAAAUAAUUAAAAUAAUGAUAUUAAUUACCAUAUAUAUUUUUUAUAUGGAUAUAUAUAUUAAUAAUAAUAUUAAUUUUAUUAUUAUUAAUAAUAUAUUUUAAUAGUCCUGACUAAUAUUUGUACCAGCAGUCGCGGUAACACAAAGAGGGCGAGCGUUAAUCAUAAUGGUUUAAAGGAUCCGUAGAAUGAAUUAUAUAUUAUAAUUUAGAGUUAAUAAAAUAUAAUUAAAGAAUUAUAAUAGUAAAGAUGAAAUAAUAAUAAUAAUUAUAAGACUAAUAUAUGUGAAAAUAUUAAUUAAAUAUUAACUGACAUUGAGGGAUUAAAACUAGAGUAGCGAAACGGAUUCGAUACCCGUGUAGUUCUAGUAGUAAACUAUGAAUACAAUUAUUUAUAAUAUAUAUUAUAUAUAAAUAAUAAAUGAAAAUGAAAGUAUUCCACCUGAAGAGUACGUUAGCAAUAAUGAAACUCAAAACAAUAGACGGUUACAGACUUAAGCAGUGGAGCAUGUUAUUUAAUUCGAUAAUCCACGACUAACCUUACCAUAUUUUGAAUAUUAUAAUAAUUAUUAUAAUUAUUAUAUUACAGGCGUUACAUUGUUGUCUUUAGUUCGUGCUGCAAAGUUUUAGAUUAAGUUCAUAAACGAACAAAACUCCAUAUAUAUAAUUUUAAUUAUAUAUAAUUUUAUAUUAUUUAUUAAUAUAAAGAAAGGAAUUAAGACAAAUCAUAAUGAUCCUUAUAAUAUGGGUAAUAGACGUGCUAUAAUAAAAUGAUAAUAAAAUUAUAUAAAAUAUAUUUAAUUAUAUUUAAUUAAUAAUAUAAAACAUUUUAAUUUUUAAUAUAUUUUUUUAUUAUAUAUUAAUAUGAAUUAUAAUCUGAAAUUCGAUUAUAUGAAAAAAGAAUUGCUAGUAAUACGUAAAUUAGUAUGUUACGGUGAAUAUUCUAACUGUUUCGCACUAAUCACUCAUCACGCGUUGAAACAUAUUAUUAUCUUAUUAUUUAUAUAAUAUUUUUUAAUAAAUAUUAAUAAUUAUUAAUUUAUAUUUAUUUAUAUCAGAAAUAAUAUGAAUUAAUGCGAAGUUGAAAUACAGUUACCGUAGGGGAACCUGCGGUGGGCUUAUAAAUAUCUUAAAUAUUCUUACA
rnacentral:ncRNA from 1 species